rnacentral:rRNA from 1 species
GCUUAGCCCUAAACAAUAGCAAGAACUUACACCCUUGUUUGCCAGGAAACUACGAGCCUCAGCUUAAAACCCAAAGGACUUGGCGGUGCUUUAGACCCAACUAGAGGAGCCUGUUCUAGAACCGAUGACCCCCGUUCAACCUCACCCCUUCUUGCUCUCAACUGCCUAUAUACCGCCGUCGUCAGCUUACCCUGUGAAGGUAUCACAGUAGGCUAAAUUGGCUCACCCCUAAAACGCCAGGUCGAGGUGUAGCAUAUGAAGGGGGAAGAAAUGGGCUACAUUCACUGACCCAGUGCAAACGAACAAUGCCUUGAAACAGACAUUCAAAGGAGGAUUUAGCAGUAAGGGGAGAAUAGAGUGCCCCCCUGAAGCCGGCCCUGAAGCGCGC